rnacentral:rRNA from 1 species
CCUACGGGAGGCAGCAGUGAGGAAUAUUGGUCAAUGGCCGGAAGGCUGAACCAGCCAUGCCGCGUGAAGGUCAGUGCCCUAUGGGCGUUAAACUUCUUUUGUGCGGGAGCAAUAAUGGUCACGUGUGGCCAGACGAGAGUACCGUACGAAUAAGCAUCGGCUAAAUCCGUGCCAGCAGCCGCGGUAAUACGGGGGAUGCAAGCGUUAUCCGGAUUUAUUGGGUUUAAAGGGUGCGUAGGCUGUGAGGUAAGUCAGCGGUGAAAUGCCCCCGCUCAACGGGGUGAAGUGCCAUUGAUACUGGCUGGCUGGAAUGCGGAUGCCGUGGGAGGAAUGUGUGGUGUAGCGGUGAAAUGCAUAGAGAUCACACAGAACACCGAUUGCGAAGGCAUCUCACGAAUCCGCGAUUGACGCUGAUGCACGAAAGCGUGGGUAUCAAACAGGAUUAGAUACCCUGGUAGUC